rnacentral:rRNA from 1 species
AUGGCGCUGCCACGCCACCGCCGCUCGCCGCCGGCGCUUCCAGACCACCUCCUCGAGGAAAUCUUCUCCCGCCUCCCUCCCGACGAACCCUCAUGCCUCCUCCGCGCCUGCCUCGUCUGCAAGCACUGGCGCGACAUCAUCUCCGCCCCCAGCUUCCUCCGCCACCUCCACGCGCACCGCCGGGCACCCAAUAUGCUAGGGUUCCUCCAGCACUCGGAAGGUGAUGAGAAUCUCCCCGUCUACGUGCCCACCUCCCCCUACUCCUUCCCUGUCCCCGACCCCCGCGAUUGGCACGUCCUCGGCUACCGGCACGGCCGCGCCGUAUUCGUCUCCGAGACUACCGACCGGGAGCUCCUCGUCUGGGAGCCGUUCACAGGAAACCGGUGGAGCGUGCCGGUACCCGCGGAACUCAACAUCGGGCACUCCAACGCCACCGUGCUCUGUGCGGCGGAGGGGUGCGACCAUCUCAACUGCCACGGGGGGCCCUUCCGCAUUGUCUUGGUGUUCACCACCCCCUUCGACGAGGAAACAGAGUGGGUCACGUCGGCGUGCCAAUACUCGUCGGAGACCGGCGCCUGGGGUGAGGUGGCCUUGGCCUUGCCCUGGCGCGAUGGCUUUUCCUUGCUCUGUGAGAAUCCUGGCCUGCUCGUGGGGAAUUCUCUGCUGUACUUCCUGUACCUUGAUGGGCACACCCUCGAGUACAACUUGGCUGAGCAUGUCCUCAAUGUGAUCAACCCACCGGAACCGGACUUUGGUGCUGCUGCAUUCUCGCAGAGAGUUAUGCUGGUUCAGGCGGAGGAUGGUGGGCUGGGAAUUGCUCUAGCUGAUGACAAUGGGUUCAAUCAUCUCUACCUCUGGUCAAGGAAGGUCAGUGAAGGAGGUGAUGCAGAAUGGGUGGAGUGCCCGGUCAUGUACCUCGGCGAUUCGCUUCCAUUUGCUGCUAGGUCGUCGUCCUCAAGAAUAAUAGCAUUUCUGAUGGGCUUUGUCGAGGGGGCAAAUACCAUUUUGGUGAGCACGGAUGAUGGCUUCUUUUCAAUCGAGCUCCAGUCCAAGCGGGGGAGGAAGAUGUGCAAGGACCGAUGCAGGGCCUACCCUUUGGUUCCAGUUGUCAGCUCCUACUCCACACUCCGGGUACCUCAAGUUGAGCACGAUGGCCUGGGCUCUCCGGACUUCAAUGGUGAGUCAGAUGACGAGGAGUGGGAGUGGGAAGCACUAAGGCAGGCAGAGUCGCUGUUUUACAGAGGGUCCAGGGCCAUCAAGGAGGGGGACUUUGUUGCCGCUGUUGAUUGCCUCAGCCGCGUCCUGGCGAUCAGGGUUGCACAUUAUGGUGAACUUGCUGCGGAAUGUGCUAGCGUGUAUUACAAAUAUGGGCGUGCCUUGCUAUGGAAAGCUCAAAAGGCAACUAAUCCUCUGGCAAACCUUCCCAAGAAGGGUACAAUCAGCAAAGCUCGUACUGAAGAACGGGGAAAACUCAAAUGGCGAAGAUCAGGAGGAUAA